rnacentral:rRNA from 1 species
UGAUAUUCUUAUAUCACCCUAAACAUACCCUGUCCUUGUCUGGUUUUGGAAACUACGCCAGGUCUGGUUUGGUUAGCACUUCCAUGGGAGACCAGCAGGGAAAACCAGGAAAAAUACUGG